CCUACAAGAUUCUGAUUGGGGAAAGGGGNACAAGUGGGUGUUAGAGGCCUCUGUCCACCGUUCUGGGGAUAUGACCCUUUAGGUAAGCAAGACUAAAGGGUCUUAUCCCCCAACACACACACACACACCCAGGCGUUUACUAUCUAGAGAAAGAGACACAACUUAAAAACCACCAAGUCUUACUACCACUUUGAAAAUCCUGUUGUCAAUCUCUGAAGAAGUUCAAGGCCUCUAGGAAUGAGUAUUCCUCAGAUCCACUGGCUAUGUACGCAGAGAAACUAUCACUGUGUAAGAGGACGUGUGCAGUACUUGUAGCAGUAGAAAUGAGGGUGAAUCUCAAAAGUAGGGGUGAGGGGGAGAAUGCAGAUUGCAGAAUGACUUUGUAGUAACAUAAAUUGAGGCAAAACAAUAUGGUAAGUGUAAGAAUAUUUAUACACAUGUAAUAGAACCGCAUUGACAAACAUGGAAAGAUACACACGAAAUUCAAGUAAAAUUUCGGGGUAGGAAGAGAGCAGAAUGGUACGCCUACUUCAGAGUGGGCUUCAAUUGGCAGCGUUUUAUUACUUAAAUUGGGUGAUAAAUAGGUAUAUGUGUGCACAGUGUGGGACUUUUUAAAAAUAUAUUUCUUUGCAUACCUAAAUUAUUUGAUUUUUUAAAACAGUGUGAUUAGUGCCAUAUUAGAAGAAGGACAAUGCUAAAGUAGCAUUUGACAACAUCUAAACUAGCCACCUGGAAAUAUUCCAGGAGGCAUUUACCUUUGUCCUGAGGGUUGUUACCCAGGAGGAAUGAAGAAGUGCAUUUCCAGCAGAAGGAAUAGCCUUUGCAAGAGCUCAGAGAGAACGCAGCUUACAAAGGAGCUGAAAGAAAUACAGUGCAACUGGAAGAGUUCUAUGAAGGGAGUGUCAGGAGGUUAAGUAGACAGUAUAGACUUUUCCCUAGGGACAGUAGAAAGCUGUUGAUGACUUUUAAGGUGGAGAAUGACUUUCAAGAAAGCAAUGAUCAUGAACUCUCUCAGUCUCAAAUUCAAAUUAUUUUUCUCAAGUGAAGCCCCUAUGCCAGAAUGUCAGGGAGAGGUCUAGUUACUCUCUGCCCUACUUUUAGUUUUAGGUAAAGUUAUUGGGGAAGGUCUUAAACAAGGCAAAGAUAGAGAUGAGACCUGAAUGAAGUGUUGAAAAUCCCGGCAGUGGAGGAAUACUGAUGUCUGAGCAUUCUAGCAAAGCCAUUGCUAACCAGUCUACCAACCACUGCUGAUCUGCUCAGCAGUGACCCUCUCUGGCCCAACCCUGGCUUGAACCCACAGGGUCAUUGGGUGGAUAUACUCUAUCAGAGGACAGCUCUUUCAACUUGAUCAACACCCUCUAUACCUUAGAGAAUCCGGAGUGCCUGUCUUAGGGCUGUAUGUGAGCCAUUCCUUCUACCUAGAACACCUUUCUCCACUCAGAUAUUUCAUGGCUCCCUCCCUCUCAGCUACAUCGUUGCCUUGUUUAAGGAGACCGACCCCCCCCCAAUAACUUCACCUAAAACCAAAACAUCCUCCAUCCCACAUCCUACUUCAUCUGCUUUAUUUUCUUCAUUGCACUACUUUCUGAUAUGAUGGUAUACAUCUGUUUCCCUUAUGUAAGAAUGUAAACUCAAUGAAGACAAGUAGUUUGUCCUAAGGGCAAAUCUUCUCCAUAAAAGGUAAUACAUUAAUGAAUAGUUCCAAACUCUUGGACUUAUCCCAACCAAGUUUGUUUCUUUUUUUUAAAACAUCAGAAAUUUAUUAGGUGCCCAAAACAUUACAUUCAUCUUGACAUAUCAUAUAUCAUACAUUUGUUUCAAAUGGGGUAUGAAUUCUUAUGAUUCCCACAUGUACAGAUUGCAGGAUCACAUGGAUUAUACAGCCACGUUUAUACAUACUGCCAUACUAGUGUCUGUUGUAUUCUGCUGCCCUUCCUAUCCUCUUCCUAUCAAGUUUGUUUCUUGCUGGCACUCACACAAGCUCACUCCAAUGCUCCAUUGCAGCAGGAGCUUCCACCAUUACUGCAGCAGUGGGAAGACAAUAUAGCAAAUCUUACACUGAUUAUUAAAGCUCCUGCUCAGAAGAAAUGGAUGUAAACUCCAUCCACAUUUCGUUGGCCAAAACAAGUCAGAUGGCCUCAUAUGGCCAACAGAUGCAGAAAAGAACACUGAGCAAAAUGCAGCACCUAUUCAACCCUCAGCAAAGCAGAAACAGAAGAAGACUUCCUCGGUAUGAUAAAGGACAUCUACAAAAAACUUAGAACAUGAAAGACUGAAUGUUUUCCUUCUAGAAUCACAAGUAAGGCAAGGACAUUUGCCUUUAACACCUCUAUUCAACACUGUACAGGAGGUCCUAGUCAGUGCAAUAAUGCAAAAAAUAAAAAUAAAAAGCAUACAAAUAGGCUCUGUUUGCUGGGCAUUGUGGUGCAUGCCUGUAAUCCCAGGAACUUGGGAGACUGAGGCAGGAGGAUGGCAAGUUUGAGACUAGCCUUGGCAAUUUAGUGAGACCCCAAGCAACGUAGAGAGACCCUGUUUCAAAAUAAAAGGGCCAGGGAUGUGGCUUAAUUAAAAAGCACCCAAAGGUCCAAAUUUAAGAAUAAGGGAAAGGGACUUAAAAAUUAUUAGUCAAUCCAGGUGUGGUGGUGCAUUCCUGUAAUCCCAGUAAUUUAGGGACUGAGGCAGGAAGUUGUUGAGUUCUAGGCAGCCUUCCCAAUGUAGUGAGACUCUGUCUCAAAAUGAAAAAUAAAAAGCCUCUGUAAAGCUCAGGGGAAGAGCACCUUUGGAUCAAUCUUCUGC
rnacentral:lncRNA from 1 species